CGACCGCGUGGAGGAUGACGGCCUUCGGGUUGUAAACUCCUUUUCUGUGGGAAGAGCGAGAAGACGGUACCACACGGAAUAAGUCUCCGGCUAACUACGUGC
rnacentral:rRNA from 1 species